CGCCUGUUUAUCAAAAACAUCGCCUCUUGUUCAAUUAUAGGAGGUCCAGCCUGCCCAGUGACUUUGUUCAACGGCCGCGGUAUCCUAACCGUGCGAAGGUAGCGUAAUCACUUGUUCUUUAAAUGAGGACUAGUAUGAAUGGCCCCACGAGGGCUGCACUGUCUCCUUUUUCUAAUCAAUGAAACUAAUCUCCCCGUGAAGAAGCGGGAAUUAUCCUAUAAGACGAGAAGACCCUAUGGAGCUUUAAACAAUUGAAACAUUUGCUUUUCUCCUAACUCCUCCCGAGCUCUUUAUUUUUAUUUAAGCAUUAUUAUUUCUAGUUUUAGGUUGGGGUGACCACGGAGCAAAACUAAACCUCCAUGAAGAAAUGAAUAUUUUUAAGCCACAAACUACUUUUUUAAGCAUCAACAAAUUGACCUUCAUUGACCCAAUAUAUUGAUCAACGAACCAAGUUACCCUAGGGAUAACAGCGCAAUCUACUUCAAGAGCUCAUAUCGACAAGUAGGUUUACGACCUCGAUGUUGGAUCAGGGUAUCCUAGUGGUGCAGCCGCUACUAAUGGUUCGUUU
rnacentral:rRNA from 1 species